AAAUUCCCAUUUUUUUCGCCCCAAAAUUCCCAUUUUUUCUCCUAAUAGUCCCAGAAAAUCCCCCCAAAAUUCCCCUUUGUUCCCCAAAAAAUUCACCCAAAAAAAUCCUUUUUGUCCAAAAUCCCCCCAAAAAAUCAUGUAAAAAUUCAAAACAAUUCCCAUUUUUAGUCCCAAAAAUCCCCCUAAAAAUUCCCAUUUUUUCCCCCAAAAAUUCAUUUUCCCACUAAAUUCCAAAAAAAUCCCCCCCAAAAAUUUCCAUUUUUCCCACAAAAUUCCCAAAAAAUCCUCCCAAAAUCUCCCACUUUUUCCACAAAAACUUCCCAUUUCUUCCCCCAAAAAAUCCCCCAAAAAUUAAUAUAAAACUCUCUUUUUUUUUCCUCCAAACUUCCCAAAAUGUGCCCCAAUAAAUUCCCAUUUUUUAGUCCCAAAAAUCCCCCCAAAAAUGCCCGUUUUUUCCCCACCCAGCCGUGGGUUCCCGUUGUUCCUUCAGGCAGCCACAGCCAGGCCGUGCUGGAGGCCCCCAAAAUCCAAAAGAAUUCUCCUUUUCGCCCCAAAAAACCUCAUUUUUUCCCAAAAAAUUCCCGGUUUUCCCUCAAAAAUUUCCUUCUUUCACCCAAAAUUCCCUGUUUCCCCACCCAGCUGUGGGUUCCGGUUCUUCCCUCAGGCAGCCACAGCCGGGACAGCGCCGCACUUGAGGCGCCACCCCAAAAUCCAAAAAAAAAUCGCAUCUUUCCCCCAAAAAAUUUCAAUUUCUCAAAAAAAUGCAUAUUUUUUUCUCCCAAAAUUCCCAUUUUCCCCCAAAAUUCCUGGGUUUUUCUACCAAAAUCCCACGUUUCCGCACCUAACCGUGGCUUCCCGUCGUUGCGUCGCCUCGGGCAGUCGGGGUCGCGCCGCGCUGGAGGCACCCCCAAAAUCCGAAAAAAUCGAAUUUUUUCCCCAAAGAAUUCCCAUAUUCUCCCAAAAUUCCCAUAUUUUUCCUAGAAACAUUCCCAAAAACCUGUUUUUCUCUCAAAAUUCCCAUUGUUUCCGCAGCCAAACGUGGCUUCCUGUUGUUGCCGUCGUUCUUCCCUCAGGCAGCCACAGCCGGGACAGCGCCGCGCUGCUGGUUACUCCAAAAUCAAAAGAAAUUCGCAUGUUUUCUCAAAAAAAUUCCCAUUUCUCUUAAAAAAAUUGUAUUUUUUCUCCCAAAAUUCCCAUUUUCCCCCAAAAUUCCUGUGUUUUUUCCACCAAAAUCCCCAAAACCCCCACGUUUCCGCACCUAACCGUGGC
rnacentral:lncRNA from 1 species